UUUCACUAUAAUGAAUCGAAAAAGAGUAUAUAAGAGCAACUCCAAUGCUCUCAUUUAGGCGCUCAAAUUUUGAGAUUAUCGAAUCCAUUCUCAAAUCUAGCAGCUGUCAAUAAUUUUUUGACAAUUCUCUUAUUGCUCUGUACGACGCCGUAUCGUAUCUCUUUCCUCAAUCCUAUCCGUCUCUCUGCUGUCCCUUUCGUUGCAUUCUAUGCCCUAUCGUAUCUCUCUCCCUCUCCUCUGCAACGACCGGCAAUCAUCAACGGCGACCGGCGCUUAAAGGCGACGAACACCGACCAGAAGUCAGACAUCACUGACCAAUCAAAUGACUUUGAAGGUGAUGGAGAUGAUGAUACAGACAGUGCAAACCUCACGAAGCUUAUACAUUUCUGGUUUCUAAGGUUAGUAUUGCUAGGAUUGAUCUGCUCAGAUCAUUGAAGAGUUGUUUGAUCUCUGAAGUUGUGUAGCUCGUGAAUAACCCCCAAUUAAGAUUUCAGCCCAUAAUCCAGAUAUUGGGCUAUGAUGUAUGUUCUGCUACUUUGUCUUGUCGGAGAAAGAACUUCAUUUUAUAUUUGUGUUAGUAUAUAUUGGUUUCAAUUUUUAUC